GUCCCAAAUUCUUAUAGGAAUUUUUCCUAUAGCAAUUUUUCCUAUAGGAAAAAUUCCUAUAGGAAUUUUUCCUACAGGAAUUCCUAUAAGAAUUUUUCCUACAGGAAUUCCUAGUCCCAAAUUAUUAUAGGAAUUCCUAUAAGAAAAUAAUUUAUCCUAAUUUCCUAUAAGAUUUUGGGUAUUCCUGCAGAAAUUCUAGAAUCUAGAUGAAAUAGUAAAUGACACACAAUGUUGUUCAUCACUCUUAAUUUUUUAAUGCAAAAAAUAGAUAUAAAUAUUAAUAAAUACUAAUUAAUAUUAUAAAUAUAAAUAUGAGAAAUUGGUUAUACUAAACAUUACAAAUCAAUUAUAGUUUCCACCUAUUGUGCCGUUCUACCUCCAUGCACUGCCAUAUGAUGCAUCCUACUUUAUUAUUUUACUCUGUCUAACACCAGACUUUUUUUUACUUUGUCCAAUGCCAGACGAUUUUACUCUGUCUAACCCCAGACAAUUUUACUUGUCAAGGGGAGAACGCUGGCUCUGAAUGGGUCAACUAGCCUAUCUUCCUAUAUAUGUGUCUAGUUAACCCAUUUAAUUACAUUGCUCCCUACUUUAUUAUUUUACUAAUUUACUCCGUCUAAUGCCAGACGAUUUUACUCAUCAGAGCGCUAGCGCAAUGGGCUAAGCCAUAGGUAAUAACCAUAAUUGAGUGAUAUUUAAAGUUAAGUUUAAAACUGGCCUCAAAACAUAGUCCUCAAAUAAGUUCUUGUUUGCUUUUCUGUACUUUGCAACACUUUGCCUUCCCCAUGCUGUUUAUUUUUGUCCUCAUGUGUUGACGAACCUCUGAGGCCUUACAUCCAUACUUUGUUGAUGCAGAAGCUGUAAAAAGCAAAUAAAUUUAUUUAAUUCAAAUGUGUCUUGUUAACCCAUUAAUUAAAUGUGCCCAAAUGCACCCAAUUUAUUAUUUUACUCUAAGUAUUAUUUUACUGUGUUUAUUCAAGCACAUUAAUAGAAUAAACACAG